CAAGGCCAUCUGGACACAAGUGAGUCCUUUUGGUUUUACUGCUGCCUGAACACCAAGACCUUCCUCAGCCCUGUAAAAAGCCGGGAGAGGUGGAUCAGCCAUGAAGAUCCUGUACCUGCUCUUUCCAAUGUUUCUCCUGUUGGUCCAGGAUGUUGAAGG